CUACCAACCACUCUUUACUUUUCGGUUGUCGUACGCUAUAUUCAAGAUGCCGCCUGUAGGAAAGUAAAACUAAUAUUGAGGAAUAAAAAUGGAAACUUCAUCUUCUUUCUCCAUGCCCUCUCUACUCUACUGAUCAGAAAAUUCAGUCCAGUAGCUCAGCUGCUGCUGCAACCACUUCAACUAAUUUAAUAUUGAAAAAAGAAAUUAAAGAAAAACAGAGAUGUCGGGCAAAGAAAGGUUGGGGUUAGACUACUGGCUUCAAUGGCAAGUAGGGGUGUGUGCUCUAAUCUUCGCCAUCCCAACGGCAAUCGCGUUGAGGCUCAUCAACAUGCGAAGAAGGAACACUGAAGCUAUCAUCAUCAAGUCCACUGAUCUCUGGGUCCCCUGUUGGAGAAAUCUGCAUCCACUUUGGCUUCUCUGCUACAGAGCUUCCGCCUUUGUUGCCAUGGCCUUCAUGCUUUAUCAGACUGUUGCCAACUUAGGAUUCUUUGUCUUCCUAUUCUACACACAGUGGACGUUUACUUUGGUUGGGGUCUAUUUUGCUCUAGGAACCAUUAUAUCGGCCCGGGGAUGCUGGUUGUAUACACGAAAUCCUCUUUCCCAGCCCGGAGAGAGAGAUAAAUUUCUUAAAACAGAUGCUGAAGAGGAUAACUAUGGGCCAUCCUCUGAACAACGGCUUGGAUUUUGGGAAAACUUUAUGCAAAUUAUUUAUCAGAUUUGUGCAGGUGCUGUUAUGCUGACAGAUAUUGUCUUUUGGUGUCUUUUGCUCCCAUUUAUGACGGGCGAGAAUUUUAAGCUCACCCUGCUAAUUGGAUUAAUGCACUCUGUAAAUGCUAUAUUUCUUCUUCUGGAUUCAGUCCUGAGCAAUCUUCAAUUUACUUGGUUUGGUUUCACAUAUUUUAUCCUGUGGAGCUGUUCUUAUGUUGUUUUCCAGUGGAGUCUACACGCGUGCUGUUUAUCUUGGUGGCCUUAUCCUUUCUUGGAACUUAACACUCCAUGGGCACCUUUGUGGUACCUUGGCUUGGCUCUGGUCCACAUCCCCUGUUACGGAAUAUACGUUCUGCUUAUCAAGGCAAAAGGCCGAAUAUUCUCGAGAUUGUUUCCACAGGCAUUUCUUAGGUCGCAUUACUGAGCUUCCUGCUGUUUCUAAGAAAUUUCCAUGUUCAAUCUCUAAAUCUUCAAGGAUGAAGUUCUUGGUUAUAUACGAAUGAUAUAGGAUAACACGGUGGUGCUGAGAUUGCAAUGGAGAAGAAGCUUACUUGAUGCAGAAUAUAAUGAAGAAGCCUGAUUUCGAGGUAGCUGUUGUUGUUGUAUGUAUAAAUGGAACUGUAAUGCUUAGAUGAGCUCAUUUUCAGGAUUGCUGUUAAACAAACUACCUCCCUUGCGAUACUUCUGAAUAUAUUUUAAGCAAAACAGAACAAAUUUACACGCAACAAAAUGUGUUUAAUCAGAAAAUAAUAAAAGAACUUCUCUUUCAUUA